GGAAUCCCACCGGGCAAGGUUUAGCCAACCACCCGUAGCCAGCCUUGGAGCAUAGCUGGUAACAGCUAUGUUUAAGCGUAGGCAGGCGAGACAGCGGGCCGAAAGCCGCAAGGUUGAAGGGAUUGAGCUUCGAAAUAGUGCGAGAUGGGAAGGCCGAUUCAUUCCGUCCUGA
rfam:Syntrophaceticus schinkii strain Sp3 genome assembly, contig: SSCH_Contig_116